ensembl:lncRNA
GGAAAUGCAUGAGCACAGCUGCGGGCAGAAACUCGCUGAGUCAUGCAGUCUGCUAACAGCUUCACUCUGUCAACCUACUGUAAAACGUUAAGGCUCUGCAUUACAUAUCCUUAAUCAUUCUUUCUUCACACAAAAGAAUCUGAUUUUUCACAUCAAGCUUGAUGAAAAAGCUACCAGUUGGUUAUGCAAGUUCAGCACAUGGAACAGAUGCCAAGAAUUGCUGGCAGAACAUUACUGACUGAGAAAGCGAGAGACCUUUUGGAAAUUUCUAAAGCUAAUCUGUUAUCCCAGUUUUGCCCACUGACUCUUCCCCUUUGUUGGAUAUCACAAGCUUGAGUCUGGAUUCAUCUUUUCAUCCUCCCGUCAGGGUCAAAGCAUUGUCAACAUGAUCUUUAACCACGACCUGAGCUGAGUUAAACUCUUAGGAUAUGACAUCUCAGCCACGUUGCAAGGUGAUGUGAACAUUCUAAUUUUCAUCUCUGCACUGACAGAGCAUAAUAUCCAGACAGGAGUCUUCAUAGCAAUGCGAGAGUAAGCAUUGCUCAAUAAGCAAUUAUUUUAUGUGGACCUGUGGACUGUCACUGCGGUCUUCAGAGCAACUAAUCUUGAAAUCACCUUUAAAUGUUGAACCUAAGAAAUCAGUUCAGUUUUGCUCUCAGGGAAGGCACAGUAGUUCUGUUAUUGCUGAAAUUCCUGAAAGCAGAAUGCAUUACCUAUGAUUCCUGCAAUGAAGAUUUUCAAUUUCAUUGUAAUAAAAAUCUUACAUUAUAAAACCGUAAAGAAAUAAAGACUUUCACAUGGAAAGAACUGCUUCAUAUUUUAGGAGUUCUAAUUUUUCUAUAUUUGAAUGCAAACCUAUUUCAUAUCUAGUGAAGCAGUUCACAUGGUAGGUCAUUUGGUUUUGCUUUUUUUCCAUAUUUACUCAUUAGAAGACAAUGAUGGGUACAGAAAAGCAACCUAAACUAACAGUCUUAAAC